GCACUCUACAUGGUCAUAAGCGGGGGGAUUGCCUGUUUACAGUACAGAGAUCGUCUGGUAGUCAGCGGCUCAUCUGACAACACAAUCCGGUUAUGGGACAUUGAGUGCGGGGCGUGUUUGCGAGUGCUGGAAGGUCACGAGGAGCUGGUGCGCUGCAUUCGCUUCGACAACAAAAGGAUCGUCAGCGGCGCCUACGAUGG